AGAACGAACGCUGGCGGCAGGCUUAACACAUGCAAGUCGAGCGCCUCGCAAGAGGAGCGGCAGACGGGUGAGUAACGCGUGGGAAUCUACCCAUCCUUACGGAACAACUCCGGGAAACUGGAGCUAAUACCGUAUACGCCCUUCGGGGGAAAGAUUUAUCGAGGAUGGAUGAGCCCGCGUUGGAUUAGCUAGUUGGUGGGGUAAAGGCCUACCAAGGCGACGAUCCAUAGCUGGUCUGAGAGGAUGAUCAGCCACAUUGGGACUGAGACACGGCCCAAACUCCUACGGGAGGCAGCAGUGGGGAAUAUGGACAAUGGGCGCAAGCCUGAUCCAGCCAUGCCGCGUGAGUGAUGAAGGCCCUAGGGUUGUAAAGCUCUUUCACCGGAGAAGAUAAUGACGGUAUCCGGAGAAGAAGCCCCGGCUAACUUCGCGCCAGCAGCCGC
rnacentral:rRNA from 1 species